rnacentral:rRNA from 1 species
AUGGAACAAAAUGUCCUGGAGCAAAUACUUGAGGGCAGCAUGGAGCCAACACAUAUUCCGCUAGUAACUUUAUGGAAAAUCACUGACGGGUUUUCCCCGGAUAGAAUAAUCGGUGAAGGGGGAUUCGCAACGGUUUAUAAGGGUGUUGUUGGGAAUUGGAGUGUUGCUGUGAAGAAGAUCAGGAGCGUCAAGACAAUUGAUGACAAGCUCUUUCGUCGUGAGGUUGGCAGCCUACUGGAGGUGAACCAUCCAAACGUAGUUCGGUUUCUCGGCUUAUGUUCUGAUACAGUGGAGACACCAAUGAAAAACCCAGAUGGCAGAGGAUAUAUUUACGCCGAGGAAAGAGAAAGAUUAAUGUGUUUUGAGUAUAUCACUAAUGGGAGCCUUGACACAAAAAUUACAGAUGAAUUAAGAGGCUUUGAGUGGGAUAAGCGUUAUAAGAUAAUUAGAGGAAGUUGUGCGGGUCUACAUUAUCUACACAUGGAAAAACAUAUUCUUCAUAUGGAUCUAAAGCCUGCCAACAUACUACUAAAUGAUGGACUGGUGCCAAAGAUUACGGACUUUGGUCUAUCAAGACCAAUAGAUUGCUCACAAACUAUGGCCGAAAUGCAUUUUUCACUAGGCUAUUGCGCUCCGGAAAUCCUGUUUGGUGGUAGGAUGUCCCCCAAGUCAGACAUGUAUAGUUUGGGUGUCACAAUCGUCGAACUGGUGACAGGACAUAAGGGUACCCCUAAUAAGGAUAAUGUAAGAGUGUUUUAUCUCGUGACGGAAAAACACUUCUUUAAGAAUCAUGUUUCCGUUGCAUGUUGUGGCUCCUACUGA